UACAGAGGGUGCAAGCGUUAAUCGGAAUUACUGGGCGUAAAGGGUGCGUAGGUUGUUAGAUAAGUUAUCUGUAAAAUCCCUGGGCUUAACCUGGGCAGGUCAGAUAAGACUGUUUGACUCGAGUAUGGGAGAGGGUAGUGGAAUUUCCGGUGUAGCGGUGAAAUGCGUAGAGAUCGGAAGGAACACCAGUGGCGAAGGCGAGUUUCUGGACAGUUACUGACGCUGAGGCACGAAGGCCAGGGGAGCAAACGGG
rnacentral:rRNA from 1 species